UACGGGGGGGGCAAGCGUUGUUCGGAAUUACUGGGCGUAAAGGGCUCGUAGGUGGCCAAUUAAGUCAGACGUGAAAUCCCUCGGCUUAACCGGGGAACUGCGUCUGAUACUGGAUGGCUUGAGUUUGGGAGAGGGAUGCGGAAUUCCAGGUGUAGCGGUGAAAUGCGUAGAUAUCUGGAGGAACACCGGUGGCGAAGGCGGCAUCCUGGACCAACACUGACACUGAGGAGCGAAAGCCAGGGGAGCAAACGGG
rnacentral:rRNA from 1 species